GAUUUCUGGUACGAUGCCCCUGAUCCGCCUCUUCGGAGUGUGAGUGUCGGUGUGGCGUCUGCCAUCUUUGUGGAAACUGCCUCUGGCCUUUACUGGUUCAGGGUGUCUGGGUCCGCAUCUUUUACUUUGAAAAAAUUAGAGUGUUUAAAGCAGGCUUUUGCUAUGAAUACAUUAGCAUGGAAUAAUAAUAUAGGACUUCGGUUCUAUUUUGUUGGUUUCUAGUACUGAAGUAAUGAUUGAUAGGGAUAGUUGGGGGUGCUAGUAUUCAGCGGCCAGAGGUGAAAUUCUUGGAUUCGCUGAAGACUAACUUAUGCGAAAGCAUU
rnacentral:rRNA from 2 species